CCUACGGGGCGCAGCAGUGAGGAAUAUUGGUCAAUGGACGAGAGUCUGAACCAGCCAAGUAGCGUGAAGGAUGACUGCCCUAUGGGUUGUAAACUUCUUUUAUAAAGGAAUAAAACGAGGCACGUGUGCCUUUUUGCAUGUACUUUAUGAAUAAGGAUCGGCUAACUCCGUGCCAGCAGCCGCGGUAAUACGGAGGAUCCGAGCGUUAUCCGGAUUUAUUGGGUUUAAAGGGAGCGUAGAUGGGUUGUUAAGUCAGUUGUGAAAGUUUGCGGCUCAACCGUAAAAUUGCAAUUGAUACUGGCAGUCGUGAGUACAGUUGAGGUAGGCGGAAUUCGUGGUGUAGCGGUGAAAUGCUUAGAUAUCACGAAGAACCCCGAUUGCGAAGGCAGCUUACUAAACUGUGACUGACAUUGAUGCUCGAAAGUGUGGGUAUCAAACAGGAGUAGAUACCCCAGUAGUC
rnacentral:rRNA from 1 species